GGUUGGGUCCUGCGCAAUGAAAAUUCAUGAACCCCGCCAGGUCCGGAAGGAAGCAACGGUAAGUGAUCCCUUUCAUGUGCCGCAGGGGUGCCUGAUUUCU
rnacentral:SRP_RNA from 1 species